UUUAAUAGUUCAAACUAUUUUGGCACUCAGAAGGAAAAUGUCUCUCAUCUCACAAACUCUUUUCAUUUUUCUAUUUCUCAUUAUUGAAUCAGGUUCAUUGGUGGUAGCAAGCAAAAAUGCAACACCUUGCUUGACAUAUUUGGGCCCAUGUGGUGGAAGUUGUGACAAAAAAUGUUGUAAUGACAAAUGUAUUAAUAGUUUCCGGGGUAAAAAUCCGUAUUCUAUUUGUCAGUUUAUACCUAGAAAUCCAGGUCGAUUAUGUAGUUGUUACCAUGAUUGUUAAUUAAUUAGAGUUUCAAGAUUAAUGAAAUGGGAUUAAUCAUAUAUGAUUAUGUCAUUUAUGUUUAA